ACACACACACACACACACACACACACACACACACUGACAGCAAGGCCUGGAAAGGUGGCCUGGAACCGCUUUGCCACUUGCAAUCCACCCGCGAGGCCCCCUGGGGAAAUGCUCAUCACCCGGCUGGGAAGGCCGUUACUGUGUUCAGCCAUUUCUCCCAGGCCGGGGUCCUGGACUUGCUCUCUUCUUGGCACCACCCCCCUUUCCCCCACCUGCCGCCUGCAGGAGGGCUUGGAGAGGGGUGUCUCCCUGGCCCAGCUCCUGUGCUGUGAGAACAACCCGGGUCAGCCUGUACGAUCUGUGAACACAGGAGCCGAGCGGACCUGGCGUGGGGCGGCCAGCGCAUCUGCAGUUCUGUCGCCCACUCUGGGGAGCGGCCUUCCUCCAGAGGGGCAGGCGCACCCCUUGCCCCGCCUGGGCUCGGCACUCCCACCGGGGCUGCGGAGGUCCUGAGGAGGCGGGACUCCUUCCAGAUGGAGGCUGCCACAUGUCCUCCAGAAGCUUUCCCAGGGGGUCCUGAGACCCGGUCCCUGUCCCUGCAGACGCGGCCCCACGUCCUCCGGAAGCCCCCACAGCGGGUCCUGAGGAGGCGGGGCUCCCCUAGCCGUGGACGCAGUACCACGUCCCCUAACACGCAGUACAGGACCCUCCAGAGCGGGACCUGAAGCGGCCGGGUCCUGUUGGUGUGGCCGUGGCCCCAAGUCCUCCCGAAGCCCCCACAGCGGGUCCCGAGGCAGCGGAGCGCCCGCUACCCACGCGGAGGUCCUUCCAGGUCUUGGCUUCUUCAGGAGCUGCCCUUGUGCUCAUCUGCUUUCCUGGCACGCCGUCUCUCAUGCUUCCUCAGCACCACCCCCCAUACCCGAGUGGCAGCCUAAUUUCUGCCUGUCCAGGACCUUAAGAGUGAGUCCUGGGACCAUCUGCUUCGCGGUGCCCUCCUGCUAGAGUGGCACAAACAACACCCAAGCCAUGCUGAUGGCAGACACCACUGCCCCCCCCAACCCCACCUCACUGAGCCCUUCCAAGAGCCCAUGACUACCCACAUGACUACUACAAUCCCCUUUAAGAAAUGAGCAAAAAAGGCCACAGAGGUCUCGCCAGAUCAGGCCACCGACGUGAG